AAUAAAGUGCCUGAUUAAAAGGGCUAUUCUGAUAGGAUAGAUCAUGUUUAAAACCUUUAUUA
rnacentral:tRNA from 1 species